rnacentral:lncRNA from 12 species
AUGAUGGCAGGAGACCUUCCGAUGGGGGCCCUGACUGCCCAAAUCCUGCAGGAGAGGUCACAGAGACCAGAAGUUGCAUGUUCAGUCCCUGAGCCCUGCAAGGCUAGAAGUGGUGUGCAACCCCUAAGCACACUGUCAGAGAUGUCUGACCUUGACCCUCUCUCUACCAGCUGGAGUACUGCAUUCAAGAAGGUGGACUCUCUUUGUUCCCAGAGCUUGCUGCCUACCUGGUUGCUAGUACAGGCACUUCUCAGAACCCGCAACCAGGGGAAGGAUUGAUACUUGCUUGUCUGAUAUCCACGCUGUCACAUUGCCAUGAGUAUUGUAAUUGGGUUGGGAGUCACUCUUUUCAGGGGUCAGUCACAAAGUCGGAUCAGGCUCUUACACAAACCCACGCAAUCCUAUCUCUGCUCUCUGACAUCUCAGUAAGUCUCGCAAUCAUGUCUGCGCACAUUAUGGUAACAACUUGCUGUUUCAGUUGGAGAAACCAAUGAUUAAACGAGACGUUUUGAUUUUGUACUCUUUUCAGUGACCUCUAACCCCCACCAUCAUUUUUCUUGUCACCAUGAAGAACUUACAUUUUCUUUUCCUUUUUCUUUUGGUUAACCAUUUUUGCUAGUUGUUGCAAAGAGGGACAAAGGAAUCUGCUGUUCUGCUCUAAAAUUGCCUGGAAAAUGAAAUCAAAGCCCAGUUGGCUGUUUUUUUCUUGGUAGAGUUUAAUUCUUAUGCUUUCGUCAUGGCCCCAAAUGAAUGAUCCAUCUGAAACAAAGAAGGGCUGGGAGUUCAGGACAAGGCAGACAAAUGGGGGGUGGAGGUCAAAUGUGGCCAAUACCAGACUUAAUUUGCCCGGCAGGAGAGCCAUAGCUGUGGGUGACGUGGGCAGAAUGAGUUUUAAAAGAAAGCAAACAAGUGGAGACACCAUUUCGGAGAUUGAAUUUGGUUUUGUUUAUUUUGUGUGCGGAAUGAGAUUGUGUGGGAAACAGAGACAUUAUCCAUGAAGAAUGCUAAGGUAAUUUAUGUUGCUUCCUUCCAUCAAUUACAUUCUGUGAGCUUGGAGGAGAAUUGCGUUCCAUCGAGUUACAGCCUUUGUACAGCCAGUCUCUAUAGAAAUGACUCUCCAGAGUAAUUUCAUAACCUGCGCUGACAAAGAUAUAAUUCAUACUGUGCUGCCUUUUGUGGGGGCUUUAAAAAAACAAGCCAUGUACCAUUUCACAGUUAUUUUUUUUUAAGUUUGACCAAGGAAAGGAAAAAUACAUUUCUCCUUCCCACUAAAUUAGAAAACCAAUAGACCUAAGGGAGAAAGGCAAAAUCUGGCUGCCUAGCCUUCUGGAAAAAACAUGCAUCAACACAGACCAGAGUUUUCUCGUAUGGAAAAUGACAGGAUUGAACUUCAUCACUUCCAAGUUUCAUUUCCACUCCCCAGAGUCUCAGAACCUCUGGUUCUAGGUUUAUUUUUUCCCGGGGAAUGUGACUCCUGAAUGAAAAUAGAAAGUUCCUCUAGAGACUUUUCCUUAGAUGAGAAUUCCUCUGCCGCAGAUGGCUUCCAUGGCAUUCCGGCCGACCGGCUUCCUCCAGGGGAUUUGGCAGAAGAGAUGGAGCUGAAGAUCGGAAGAAAACGUGCCAUUUAAGGAAGGCUUGAGCUUGGUAGAGGAUCCCCCCCGGCAGGUGGGGGGCAAGAUGGUAGGGAGUCAGAGAAGAGCAGAGCCAGGGAGCCAGGGCGCAGGGAUCCGUAAGUUCAAACACUGGGAAAACACCCAAGGAAGACGGCCAGUGACAGGAACCAGGAGAGCCCACCAGUGAGGCCGAGGGGCCAGCAGCCUGGGAAUGACGUUGAUCCGGGAGACAGUGUGCUGUUUUGCCUUUGUCACCUCAUUUCUGUGUGGUGCACUCAAUAGCCAACAGCAGGAGGUCUGCCUUGUGGGCUGGCAGGGGACCGUUAUUGCAAACAGCUCCCUGCGGAGCAGCAGGGGAUGUGGAACAUUCUCCUGGCCCAACUGAUUUCCACCAAAGGGCAGAGCAUUCUGUUUGAAGUCAUGGGAUUGGUCUGAAGCUGCCUGGCUCAUUGAUCAGUGAGCUGGUGGUAUUUGCCACUUUCUGUCCCUUCAGGCUUCUGUUUCCAAACUAAACUUGCACAUUUCCUGCUCUAUCAGGGUAUUUAAAAUCUUUAUAGGCCCCAGGCACUCUAACUUUUGGGCUCUUUCAAACAUAUUACAAUAAUUCACCAUUUGCUUAUGAAAUUGGCCACCCAUUUAAUUUACAUUUGGCCAUGACUUCUCAGUAAUCAGCUGGCAGACAUGGGAAUUCUUCUGCAGUGAGAAAAAUCUAAUGUAACAUGCAAAUUGUUUUCAGAGGUCAUACAUUUAUAUAGAUAAUAAAUGUAACAAUGGAGGAAGCUGACCUACUGAU